rnacentral:lncRNA from 1 species
UUCUUCUUUUUUCUAUACUGUAUCUUCCAUUAUGUUUAGUGUUCAAAUAUUUGAGGGAGUGGAAUGAAAUGAGUUGAUAUGAAACAAUAUAUUAAUAAUAACAGGAAAGGGAACCAGUGUAUUAUAACAAAUUUAAGCAGACAUUUAACAUUUUUCAAUAAUAGUCUUUGAUUCUAAUGUUUUAAACCAAAAUUAUAUUUUCUAUAGUUAGCACGCAAUUUAUAAUAUAACUCAUAAUAUUAAAACUACAUAGCAUAUAAUUUAUAAUUAACUGAAUUGUGUCAUCAAGUUGAAUUGUAUUUGAAGGGCUAAGGGCUUUAUCUUUACAGGCUUUCCUUGUUAAUCACCAUGAAACAUUCCAUGAGACCCCAUAAAAUGGCUCCUUUCAUCUCUAUUAUCUACAAAGGCACAGACUAUCUGCAUCUUCUUCGUAGAUGAGCACAUGAGGACACAAAAGAGUAAUUUGAGGUAACCUGGUUGUGAUCAUUAAUUUUAAGUGUCAACUUGACUGGAUUAAGGAAUAACCAAAGAACUGGUAAAGCAUCGUUUCUAUGUGUGACCGUGACGGCAUUUCAAGAAAAGAUAGAACUCCAGACUCUUCGGCCUUAAGACUCUGGAACUUACACCAACAGCCGCCCUGGAUUUCCAAGUCUUCAGCCUGGGGCUGAGAAAUACAGCAUUGGCUUUCCUGGUUCUGAGGCUUUUGGACUUUCACCCUGGUAUGUUAUUGGCAUCCCAGGGUUUUCAGGUUGCAGAAGUUCUGUCAUGAGGCUUCUCAGUAUCCCGUAAUCAUCUGACUCAAUUCCCCUAAUCAAUCCUAUCUGCUUAUCUAUCUAAUCUAUUUAUUAUCUAUCUAUAUCAUCUAUCUAUCAUCUGUCUGUCUACUUAUUAUCUAUUAUGUAUCCUAUUAGUUCUUUCUGUCUGUAUUAGUCUGUUUUCACACUGCUAUAAAGAAUGGCCUGAGCCUGGGUAAUUUAUAAAGCAAAGAGGUUUCAUUGACUCAAUUCCGUACAGCUGGGGAGGCUUCAGUAAACUUACAAUCACGGCAGAGGGUGAAAGGAAAACAUGGUAUGUCUUACAUGGCAGCAGGAGAGAAGGAGAGAUCGAGAUGGGAAGUACCACAUUUUAGAACCAUCAGCUCUUGUGAGAACUCACUAUUAGGAGAACAGCAUGGGGGAACCAUCCCAAGAUACAAUCACCUCCCACCAGGUCCCUCCUUCAACACAUGGGGAUUACAAUUUGAGAUAAAAUUUGAAUGGGGACAAAAAGGCAAACCAUAUCACUGUCACUCUUGAGAACCCUAACUAAUACACUGGUUUAAUACUAAAAUUUCAAGAAUUGUUAUAAAUAAAACAGGAAUAUAUAUUUGGAGACUGUAGGAUCUCUUUAGAGUCCCUAUUCAUAUGCACCAUUAUUUUCUUUUUAAUAGUCAAAAUAGGCUUGACUGCUUUAACAAAAUUGGCCUUUUUUAUUACUUCAACCUUUAUAAUUAAUUUUGAAGUUAGACUAACUUUUUUUCCAGACUCUUCAGAUGGUAAAACAUAUGGCACUGUUGUUGUUUAGAUGAAGUAAAAGAUAAUGUGCUAUUAUAUGGUUAUUAUGUAAAUAGAGUUAUUUGAGUCCCAGUGGGAGAUUAUUUAGGUCACUGAAGUAGCUACUCAAUAGUUUUAAAAAUAAAAAUAUCUUUGAGCAACAAAACAACUGUAGUUAUCUUGAAAACUGACAAUACAUUUUGUUGGAACCUAAAGGUUGAAUAUUACACUAAUCAAGAAAGAAUUAUGUUCUAGUUUAGAUCUUAAUUUCUACCAUAAUAAAAGUUGUUUACAUUAAAAUAGUAUGUAUGUUUUUUGAAAUUAAUGUUUUUGCUAGACAUACCCAAAGGCCCAUUUAGAUAUAAUUUGAGAGAACAGUACUCACUACUUUUCUAAGCACCUACAUUUUUGUACCGUAUUUUGUAUAUAAUUUAGGCUAACAUUAUAAUUCUUACACAGUAAAAUGAGUCCUUUCGUUCCCUCACUGCAGAAGCAAUACAUGUAAUAGUCUGUAAGAAUUAGUGUUUUCUAACACGUUCCUUACUUUUAAGUAAUUAUACAAACAGGAAAAGGUGAGCUCAGUAUUUUCUACUGUGUAGCUUGAAAUUAUUUGGCAAUUGUUAGAUUUUUGUAAAACAACAAAUGAUGAUAAUUUGAAUGUGCAGUAUGAAUGAUAAUUGUACUUUUCAAACAAAUUAUCGUUUGUUGAAGGUACCUGAGAAUGAAAGAAAUAAGACAGAGAGAGUGUGUCAAGAGUUCCUUAAAUUACAACUUUAAGCUGUUUUAACUCAUGCUUGAAGCAUUUAGGAUUCAAGGAAAUAUGGGUUAUAGGCAAUUGUGAGUAGUACAGUUACCCUCAGUCAUUAGCAGGGGGUAGGUUCUAAAAUCCCCAGUGGAUGUCUACAAGCACAUAGACAGUACCAAAUCCUAUAUAUACUGUUAUUUUUUUUCUACCCAUACCUAUCUAUGAUAAAGUUUAAUUUAUAAAUUUGGCACAGCAAAAUAUUAUCAACAAUAAUGGAUGAUAAAGUUGAAUGAUUAUCAUUAAGUAAGCAUGCUUCCUCUCUCUCUCAAAAUAUCUUUAUACUUUUAGAUUGCUGUUGACUGCUGGUAAAUGGAACUGCAAAAGAUGAAAUCAUGAAUGAGAGAGGACUACUGUAUAUGUAAUUUGGUAAUUAAAGAGCGAGAGACUACUGCUUCGUAUUGUUAUGAAGGGGAGAGCAGGAGGAUCCAAGAUGUAGUACAGAUGUUUGACACUCAUAGUGAUGAAAGCAGAAAGCAGGUGAAUAAACAGAUAAUGAACUGGUAUCUUGAUAAACAAAAGAUAUAACUAGUUAUCAGAAAAUUGCUUUCUUGAUGUAAGGGCAUGAGGAAACUUAUUCACAGAAAAUAAAAGUCUUUUAGAUGGCUUUAUUGGCUGCAAUGGGGCUGUGAUAUUCAGGGAUAUACAGUGAAAAUAAAUCCAUGAGCUAAGAAGCUUCUUGUUGGCUUAUUCCAACCUUCCUUUAUUCAAUUAUCCACACUUUGAAUUAAUAAAUACUAUGUUUCUGGUCUUGUUCAAGGUGUUGGGGUUUCAUCUAACAGGAAAUGGUGUACUACAACUCAAUUCUUGUGCUGUCUUAGUACGUUCCUGCUGCUAUAAGAAAAUACCUUAAGCUGGGCAAUUUAUAAAGAACAGAAAUUUAUUUCUCAUAGUACCAAAGACUAUGAGUCCAAGAUCUAAGCAUGGGAAGGUUGAGUGUUUGGUGAGAGCUCAGUCUCUGCUUCUGAAAUGGCACUUUGUUGCUGCAUCCUCCAGAGUGGAGGAACACUGUGUUGGUGGAAAGGAUAGAAGAAGUGUGGAAGGGACAGAAGAAGUGUGGAAGGAUGAAGGCUGCAUGAAGCCUUUGGUAUAAGGAUCUUAAUCUAAUUCAUGAAAGAAGAACCCUCUGACCUAAUGUUUUCUUAAAGGCAACACCUCUUAAUAUUAUCACAUUGGUCAACAAGUUUCAACACCUAAGUUUUGGCGGGAUCACAUUCAAAACAUAGAAGAUUCUAACCACCCCCACCCCCCAAAUUUAGCACAUAUCCCACAGAUUAAGGGUUUGGUACUUCACGAGACUGCCCUUGUUUUAGAUGCCAGCCAUCAGUGGAGAGUCCUCGGGUCACCUGCACUUCUCACAAAAUGCCUACAGAUCGGGAAACAGUUGUGGGUAAUGAUUAUACAAUGAUACAAAUGGAUUGUCUGUAUUGCAUAAUUUAAAAUUUUCAAAUAAAGACAUAAGGGAUCAUGAAACAGAAUCCUACUGCAAGAAAAAUUUUAUUGAUUAAAUACUAAACUUGAAGAUAAAUGUUGACAACAGGGAAGAAAAUGUUCAGAAGUUUUUAUUCAUGAUGGGAGUAAGAAAAGGAAGAGAAGAGGGGUAAGAAUUUUAUCUAAAUGGCUCACUUUGUAGAACUUGAAACCAGUCGGAAAUAGGGGAUCUUGGUAGAAAAUAUAGUUCCUUGGUUCUAUAUAAUGAUAAUAAAAUGUGUCUG